rnacentral:rRNA from 1 species
AGCGAACGCUGGCGGCAGGCCUAACACAUGCAAGUCGAACGAACUCUUCGGAGUUAGUGGCGGACGGGUGAGUAACACGUGGGAACGUGCCUUUAGGUUCGGAAUAACUCAGGGAAACUUGUGCUAAUACCGAAUGUGCCCUUCGGGGGAAAGAUUUAUCGCCUUUAGAGCGGCCCGCGUCUGAUUAACUAGUUGGUGAGGUAAAGGCUCACCAAGGCGACGAUCAGUAGCUGGUCUGAGAGGAUGAUCAGCCACAUUGGGACUGAGACACGGCCCAAACUCCUACGGGAGGCAGCAGUGGGGAAUCUUGCGCAAUGGGCGAAAGCCUGACGCAGCCAUGCCGCGUGAAUGAUGAAGGUCUUAGGAUUGUAAAAUUCUUUCACCGGGGACGAUAAUGACGGUACCCGGAGAAGAAGCCCCGGCUAACUUCGUG